rnacentral:rRNA from 1 species
AGCGAACGCUGGCGGCAGGCCUAACACAUGCAAGUCGAACGAAGUCUUCGGACUUAGUGGCGGACGGGUGAGUAACACGUGGGAACGUGCCUUUAGGUUCGGAAUAACUCAGGGAAACUUGUGCUAAUACCGAAUGUGCCCUUCGGGGGAAAGAUUUAUCGCCUUUAGAGGGGCCCGCGUCUGAUUAGCUAGUUGGUGAGGUAAAGGGUCACCAAGGCGCAGAUCAGUAGCUGGGCUGAGGGGAAGAUCAGCCACAUUGGGACGGAGUCACGGACCAAACUCCGCCGGGAGGCAGCAGUGGCGAAUCUUGCGCGAUGGGCGAAAGCCUAACGCAGCCAUGCCGCGUGGAUGAUGAAGGUCUUAGGAUUGUAAAAUUCUUUCACCGGGGAAGAUAAUGACUGUAGCCGGAGAAGAAGCCCCGGCUAACUUCGUGCCAGCCGCCGCAGUAAAAC